UACAGAGGAGCCAAGCGUUGUCCGGAUUGACUGGGCGUAAAGCGCACGCAGGCGGUCGCGCGCGUGGGGUGUGAAAUCUGGCCGCUUAACGGCCAGGCGCCAUCCCAUACGGCACGACUGGAGUGAUGCAGAGGUCGAUGGAAUUGCCGGUGUAGUGGUGAAAUGCGCAGAUAUCAGGAAGAACACCCGUGGCGAAAGCGGCUCUCUGGAACGGUACUGACGCUGAGACGCGAAAGCGUG
rnacentral:rRNA from 1 species